UGGGGAAUAUUGCACAAUGGGCGAAAGCCUGAUGCAGCAACGCCGCGUGAAGGAAGAAGGUCUUCGGAUCGUAAACUUCUGUCCUUGGGGAAGAAGAACUGACGGUACCCAAGGAGGAAGCCCCGGCUAACUACGUGCCAGCAGCCGCGGUAAUACGUAGGGGGCAAGCGUUAUCCGGAAUUAUUGGGCGUAAAGAGUACGUAGGUGGCAACUUAAGCGCAGGGUUUAAGGCAAUGGCUCAACCAUUGUUCGCCCUGCGAACUGGGAUGCUUGAGUGCAGGAGAGGAAAGCGGAAUUCCUAGUGUAGCGGUGAAAUGCGUAGAUAUUAGGAGGAACGCCAGUGGCGAAGGCGGCUUUCUGGACUGUAACUGACACUGAGGUACGAAAGCGUGGGGAGCAAACAGGAUUAGAUACCC
rnacentral:rRNA from 1 species